AUGAACACAGGUGUAAAAACCAUUGUGCGAUUUUUUUACUUAUGCAACAGAUAAUGAUUACAAAUCUAAAAACGCGAGUUUAUACAUAUAUAUCUUUUUUUUUUGUAAAUAUCUGUGGAUUAUUUUCUAAAGAAGAGUUUUGUUUGUCUUGCAUGACUGAAACUGCACCAGGAACCCUGAUCGAAUUAUAAAGCCUCAUCGUUGAUAACGUACCUGCGCUGGAGAAUGGCAGAAUAACGCCCGUGCCUGUGACUGCGCUUCCAUCGGCAGAGAAGAGGAACAAAAUGAAGGACGUUUGUCCCGGCAGGAGCGG